GAUGGGGCGAGACCGUCGUACGGCUCGGCAUGUUGCUUGGACUGGCACACGAUCGGGUGAAUCAUUGCAUUGAUGUCAGAGGUAAGGCCGAGAUCAGAGACUUAUCACAGUUGACUGGACUCCGCUGAGCUGAUUUGCCGUGAAGAGCCAUGGGUCCGUAGAUAAUAGGAGCCAUGCGCAUUAAUUGUUGAGUAAGCCGGAGGUGCGCAUUAAUUGUUGAGUAAGCCGGAGAUUCGCAUUAAUUGUUGAGUAGGCCGGAGAUGCGCAUUAAUUGUUGAGUAAGCCGGAGAUUCGCAUUAAUUGUUGAGUGAACCGGGGGUUUGCAGAGGUCAUGCGUAAUAAAUGCUGGGGCAGUGGCAGGAUAUGGCCCUCGGCUGGACCUCGGAGAGGUACGGCCGUAGUAGGUGGUCGACAAGGACAGACCUCUGGGGUCGGGAAUUCUCCAGAUCGGAGGUUCUGAGGUCGGACGUUCCGAGGUCG
rnacentral:lncRNA from 1 species